rnacentral:rRNA from 1 species
CGCCGCGGUUAUACGAGAGGCCCAAGUCGAUAAAACCCGGCGUAAAGGGUGGUUAAGGAUUUUGAUGACUAGAGAAGAACGCUCUUCAAGCUGUUAUACGCCCCCAAGAGUAUGAACCCCUACCACGAAAGAAGCUCUAUUUUGCCUGAACCCACGACAGCUUUGGUA